rnacentral:lncRNA from 1 species
UUAUCUUCAACAAUAUAUAAAGGUGGUGAUGAACAUUAAGAACAACAACAACAACACCAAGAACUACAACAAUAAUCUCCAAGAAUACCAAUAAUUUUUCACAUGGCUAACCCCAUAACAACAACGUCUCACACAGCCAAGACUACAACACUUCAACAAAAUGUUCUUAGGCAACCAAUUUUUAACAACAUUCACUUCCAAUCUUAAGAACAGUGGUUUUAACAUCCACAACAAUAAACAAUGUCACCAAUACACGACCAAAGGUGAAGCCACAACAACAAUGCCAACAUAAUUGGCCAAGUUAUUUUUUUUAUUAACAGGUAUUUUCAUUAAUAAGAAAGUGAGUCGUUACAUAGUCGGGUAGAAGCUGACCAUCGACCACCUUAUUUGUCUUUCUAUGGCCUAUUCAUGUUAUCUAUACACUAAUAUAUCCAUGAUCCAUUUACAAUAAGUAUCAAUUCUACUUCUCCUAAGGGAAAUAAUUCAGCAAUUGUAGCUUUUCCCGCCAAGAAGCUUUAUUUCUUCCCUGAAUAUGCAGGUACAUAGCUAUUUUAUGACAUGUUUUAGUUAUAUCACUUCUACCUUUCUGGAAACUCAUUAUAUUUCUAUCUUUCAAAAUGUUGUAUACUACCAUUGCAAACAAACUACAUAGCAUCUCAGCGAUCGUAGCUUUCUUCUUUGCUAUCUUCCAUAUGCAUUCUAAAUCUUGAUGCAAUAUACCUAUUGCUUUGUGUGCUCUUAUCCAUAUGAGUAUUCUGGUCCAGAUCUGCUUGCUGUAAGGACAUCUAAAGAAUAGGUAGUGUAGUAUUUAUUCCUAUUGAUCACAAAAACCACAGCUUAUAGAAACUUGCACCCCCAUCUUCUGAAGUCUAUCAACUAUAGAUAAUCUUUCUUAUAUUGUAAGCCACAAAUGGAAUUUAUAUCUAGGAUACACUCUCUUAUGUUGUGUGAUAUUCUUCCAUACCACCCUUGGAAAUUGAGGCUGAAGUUCUAGAUAAGCUUUCUUAAUCUUGAAUUUGUUACUUUGUACAAUACUUCUCAAGGUUUGAUUUAUACUCCCCUGGUAGCAUUUUUGUAACAUGAUGAAUUUACCACUGUCUAUGAUCUUCUACAUCACUCAAGCCGCGUUCUUAGGACUUGUCAGGUCCUCAAGCUUGAUUUUCUUUAUGUAGUAGUAAUGUACCCAUAUAAUCUAUAGUGUAUCUUUUUUCAUCGAGAUAGCCCAUAAGUUCUUCAGGAUGGCUGCCUUAUUCCACAACUUAAGAUUAAUAAUGUUUAGCCCACCUACUGAUUCUGGGUAGCAAAGUCUUUCCCACGUGACCAGUGCUUUCUUUGAUAAUUCAAUGUGACCUAUCCAAAGGAAUGUUCGACAUACAGUUUCCAGUAUCUUGAUUAUCUUUUUGGGAAGCACAAAGAUUUGAGCCCAAUAACUUUUCACGCCAAAUAGAACAACCUUUAUCAGUUGUAGCCGACCUGAGUAAGAUAAUAACUUUGCUGACCAACAUGUAAUCCUAGUUGUGAACUUGUCUACCAGAGGAAAGCAUUGAGAUACAGUCAACUUCUUUGUGGAUAGGGGAAACCCCAAGUACUUGAAAGGUAGCCUUCCUUCUACAUAACCCAGCAAUUGCAGUAUGUCUUCUUUUAUAUAUGGUAUGGUCCCGACCAUGUAAAUGGAACUCUUCUCCUAAUUAUCUUUCAAACUUAAGGCACAUAAGAAUUAAUGAAAGGACUCUUGUAACAUGGAUACAGAUGACAGAUCAGCCCUACAAAACAUUAAGAGAUCAUCGACAAAAAAUAAAUGGAUAAGACCAAAUCUUUUACAUCUUGGUUAGAAAUGGAAUUGUUUAUUUAGAUUUAGACUCAAGAGUGUUAUAGAUGAAGAAAAAUAAUACUAGAAAUAACAAAUGAAGUAAAAAUCUUGGCCAAGACACAACAAUAACACAAUUUUCGGCCAAGAACACAAACACGGACAAAUUUGCUUCUUUUUUAUUUUUCAGUUUUCUAACACUUUUUAUUUUUCUAAUAAGCAAGACCAAGAUUGAUCUUGUAGGAGAAAUAUCAAGCCAUGAUUUUAUUCCAAAUGAUACAAGAAAGACAAGGGAUCACGAAACAAACACCAAAAUCAGUCCACAUGUUUAAAGAUCUGAGGACCCUUUUAAUGACCACACUCGGAUUCACAAACAAGAACAAAAAUACAUGAGAUAGGGGUGCUUCAAUACCUAAACAACCACCAUAAACUAAUAUUAUCAACACAAGAUAAAGGACACGAAGAAAAAUAACAAUAUUAUAACAAUACUAAUGUGUUCCACAAGCAAGACACAUAACGGUUAUAAGAUUACAAUAAACAAAAGGAUAGAUAGAUAGACUACAUGAAGGAAUAAUCUUAAUAACCCAAGAAAAUAUUCCACUCUUGGACCCUUAACACUACUCACAACAAUUCACCUAUCUCUUACGUUGGUACAAGAGGACCUCGAUCUCCCAAGCGUCCAACGUUUCCAAGCUUGAAUCCAACAUGAGUGAUUCCACACUCAAGUCAAAAACUCUAGUUACAUUGUUUUCACUAAGAGGACUUUCUCACAAGAGAGAGUGUUUCAAUUUUACAACUUUCAAUAAUCUUCAAAAACUAAGUAGUAAAUGAUCUAACAUAUUCUAUUGAUAGCAGGUUGCAAAAAUAGUGUGAAAUAUCCAAAAGACCCCUUAGUCAAUUGCUUCACUUUAGGUGCCUUUGGAGUGUAGAAUGUGGGCUGUUUUGGAGCCUUUUUAGGCCCUCCUUUGUACUUCAUUUGCACACACCAAGUCUUGGGUCUAACAUACGUCCUCAUACGUCCAUCUACAUUAUCGUACUUGUAUCAUAUAUGUAUUCCAAUAACUUACCAGGACACCUAAUUUCGUAAUAAGUUGAUUGGCCAUAACCCUUAUAGAAGGGCCUUUGCCACCUGAGAAUCUAUUCUUGAAAUAUUCACCAAGGACCUUUGUCAUGGCGUGAGGAUCUUGGCCUAAAAUGUGCUCCGAACCACAUGUGUGAUACUUUUCAUGCUUAUGAAUAAUGAAACUACUAGAACUUAAUUACUUCACCACUAUCAACCACCACCUGCAGUUCGAAUUAGCAUAUUUGUAGCAAAAGACUUUUCUUGAAUUAAUCACCUUCGUUAUUUUGAAAUUAUUUUUCAAGCAAGAAAUAAACAAAGUAGUAGGUAGUUCUUUCUUGUAAUUGAAUGAAAUUCCCUUGUAAAAGAUGGUCUCAUCUUCUUAACGAUUGCUAGACUAUGUUGAUCGAGAAGAACUGCCCAAAGUAUUGGUCGCAUCAACGGGUGUGAGUGUUUGAUCAUUAUCUGGAAUGUUCAUGUCUAGAUCAUCCAACCUAUCAUCAAAGAUAUAUUGUUGUUGUUGUUCUUCUACAUUCUGGUUCUCAUACUCUCUCGUCUUUUCAACUACAUACACCCUUAACACCAGCCUGGAUAAAUCACUAAGAUAAGCAUGCUACCAAACCUAAUCAGUUAUCUUGAAAGAUAGUACCUUCUGAUUUUCAAAGGAGCUGUGCAUGUAGCUGAUGAUGAGUUCUUCCAGUUGAUAAUUCAGUCCAUAAUAGCUGAUGAUUAAGUUCACCAAAUCAUCAUACGAAACAUCACUUUGGACUGUCAUAGCUAUUGUCUCUAGCAUUUCACCCUCCUUCCAAAGCCAUACAUAUAGAUUGCUCUUCUCUAUCCAUUGGCCAUGACAAUCCACCCCUAUUGUUAUUGAUCCCUCCAUUAGUGGUACCUAAAUAAAGUUAUUUUUUUAAAAAAGUUAAUAGUGAUUUCAUAGUGCCGUAACAUGAAUUCCAACAAAUCUGUAAUCCGUUUUAAGAGGUAAGUGAUGAAUCCUAAUAGAUUACUUAACUAUUGGGAUUCAUGUUAUGAUCCUGAAGAUGAUUUCAACAGAUGAGUCAUCUGUUGUAACAGGUGAAUUAUAUGUUGCAACAAACUAUGCAUCUGUUGCAACAGACGAUGCGUUUGUUGAAAUCGAGUUCAGGUUCUAUUGCAGCCCCACAAAACUCUUUAGGUUUAGGGAAUUUAGUACUAUUUUACUUCUAUUUUUAUUUGAGAAGAAGACAUAUUAUCAUAGGUUUAAGAGGAAAGAACAACAUUAAAAUAAGUAGGAAACGUUUUAGUACUUAAUAUUCCUAUUAAAAGGGGUUUAAAAUUAUAUUAAUAUUCCACUUUUUUUGUUUUUCAUAGAUAUUGAUGAUUUUUUUUUUUGAGUUCUUUGAGUUAUUCAUAUAUAUUGUUUUGUAGCAUAUGAUACUUUUUUAUUUGCUUUAGUUCGUCGUUUCUUUUCUUUUUUAAUUCUUUUAUAUGAUUUUAAAAGAACUAUUGUUUAUUGUUCUUCAUGCUAGGUUAAAAUCAUUAAUAUAUGUGUAUAAAUAUUUUGAGCGCCCACGGCUCCAAAAUUUUGAGUCCGUCGCUGCUUGCUUAUUAGUUGAAACACAUGAUUUUUAUUUAGUUGGGGGAUGACACAUAGGUCUAUAGUUUGAAAAUGUACGAGGAGUAGCCCACAAUACUACAGAAUAAAACUGAAUGAAUUAGAUAUCGGUAAAAUAGUCAAGUACUCCCAAUUUGGGGGUGGGGUCUUCAGAAAAGAUUGAGAGGGCCUAGAGAUGAUUUUGAUAGAGAGUUGGUGGGUAGGAAAUUGAAGCCUCAUUGCAAAAGCUCUGUAGAAGAAAGAGAGUUGCAAAAGGUAGGGGCUAGGGGACUGAUGCGGUCAUGGUAAGUGAGAUUAUGGAGGAAAUUAUUGCAAGGUUGAAGCGUGACUUAAAUUAGUGGCCGAAUUAUGAUUUCUUGACGCAUAAAGUAAUUCGUGUCUAUUUGCAGUCAUUGGCUGGUAAUGCAUUCCUGUAUACUUGGGGUGAUAUAUUUCAUCCGAAAAUUGAAAGAAACUGCUUACUCAAUGAUUGAUAAUGGCAAAAUUAUUAGUAUAACGGUGAGUGAAAGUGGUAAUAGGAAGUUUAAAGAUGAUAAAAGCCCUUGACCAUGUUUUUUUGUUUUCCUUUAGAACCAGAUAGUGCGAUAUUCGAUGCAACAUGGUGGACGCCAACUAAUUUGUUGGAAUUUUUUCAUCACUAUUUGAUGAAAUAACAUAGUGUAAACGUGAUAUUAUUCGUUUUGGUCAACACUUACAUGAGUUUCGUCCACAUAGCUAAACUACUAAAUUCUAAGACUUGUUUCUAUUUUAACAUACUCAAUAUUUAUCCUGUAUUAUGUUAAUAUGAAAAUUGCUUCAAAUGUCAUAUGAUUUCUUAGAAUGUCACAUCCGUUUCCUUUAAGAUAUUACCUUUGUUUUUCAAUUUUCAUCCAUAAUUAUUACUCCCUCCGUUUUAGAAAGAAUGACCUAUUUUGACUUGACACAAAGUUCAAAAAAAAUAAAGAAGACUUUGAAUCUUGUGGCCUUAAAUUAAAGUUGUGUCAAACAUACCAAAAUGUCUGCCCUUUAAUCUUGUAGUACUAAAUAUAUCAUGUAGAAAUUUGAAAUUAAAAUAUUAUCAAAAAGAAAAGGGAUCAUUUUUUUUUUUAACAAACUAAAAUGAAAAAUAAAUCAUUCGUUUUUAAACGAAGAGAAUACAAUUUUUCUGGAGUAAAUACCUUUAUUAUAUGCACGUUAUUUAUAUAUCUUCGAGCACGUGUUUAUUGUUAAACUAUAACACUACGUCACUAAAGUUGCAUCAUAUUUAUUAGAUUCUGGUUUCAAAUUAUUUGCUAUUUUAAUUUCUAUUCUAUAUCUCAAAGAAAAUAUUAAUAUGUCUGUAUCAUAUUUUAAUAAAAUUAUUUGCUAAAUAUUUUGAGAAAAACAUACCGCGUACGUUUUGAGAAACUAGUUUGAAAAAGGUAAAAGGACAAAAAUAACCCUUCAAUCUAAAGUAAUUCUACCAAAAUAGACAUCCACAUUAAUUUGCUGUAAUUAGCCACAAAAAUUAAUUCCUAAUACUAGCCAUUUUGCCGGUACUUGCUUCAUGUCCUUUUCUUUAAAAAAGAAAAUUGUUGUUCCAUUUUUUUUUUAAAAAAAUCGUUGUGCAUUUUCUUAAUAACACAUUUCUAUUUUUUCUAAAUCCACUACUACACUUUUUUAGAAAUAAAUACUCAUUGCUAUUUUUUUUUUCACUGUUUUGUCUUUAUGCUAUUUUUUGCAACUUUUUUUUUUUUUUAACAAAAAUAACUAUAUUUUUAUGGCUGAUGCAAUAUUUUUAACAAUACAAUAGGUAUACAGUUACUAUAGACAUCUUAUAUAUAUACAUAUAGAAUACAGUUACUAUGGACAUCUUAUACAUAUACAUAUAUAUUCUAUACAAAUAAUAAUACAACUUAUAUACAUAUCAUAACAAUAGUUGUACAAUUUUUAUAUACAUCCUAUACAAUAUUUAGUAACAAUAAUUAUUUAGAUGCAUUAUUUAUACAACAUUUAUACAGUUUCUAUACACAUCAUAUAUAAAAACAUAUUCAAUACAAUAAAUAUACACUUUCUAUGCUCAUUCUAUACAAUAAAAUAUACAGUUUUUAUAUACAUUUCUAUACAACUUUUCUGCAACUUUUGUUCAUAUAUGUGUUUUAUAUAAGAAUAUAUAAUUUAUAUAUAUAUUUUUGGAAGUAUAAUGGUGAGUGGAAGUGGUAAUAGGAUAUACAACAAUACAUAAUUUUUAUAUAAUUGUAUUUAUUUUUUUAAGAAAAUUAAAGUAGGUUUUUAUCCCCAAAAAAAAACUAUAGGAAAAUUUUAAAAAAUAACUAUUUAAAAACAAAUCUGAAAAAAAAAAAUGUAUCUAUGGGCCGAAAUGGCCCAAGAAAGGAAAGGGUCAUGGAGAGAAUGCAACUAAGUGGCUAAUGGGAGAAAUUGGCUUACAAUGGCCAUUAAUUGGGAAUAGUAUUUGGCGAUUGGCCAUUUGGGUCAUUACUUUUAAAAAGGGUCAGUCCAUAUCCUUUUCCAUUUGAAAAAGCAAUUAUGUAUGUAACCUAAUAUUUUUUUCUAGUCGAUCGAAAUCCAAGAAGAAAAAAGACCUAACAUUUAUCUCAACCCAUUUCACUUGUCUGUGGCCACCUUAUAUGAUUGGAUUGAAUUGGUUGGGUUCGAAUGUUGAAGCUGUAAUAACUAAUAAGAGCAGAGUUUGACACAGCGACCCGUGGGGCUAAAAUACAUAUAUAGUGGAAAACUUAGGUGGAUUAUCGACUUUUUAGACUUGCUAUUAGGUAUGAUUUGAUAGGAUGUAUUAGAAAAUAAUGUAUGCAUUUCUUUUUUUUUUUUGUAAGAUUAUCGAUUGUUGUUAAGAUAUUUUACUAAUCAAAUCAAAGAAAAACUUUGAAAAGUCUGGCCAUGGGCCAAGAAACCAACAAAAGAAAUAAAAAAAACUAAGAGAUAUUUUUUGCUCAUCCCACUAAGAAAAAAUAUCCGAUCCUUUAUAAUAAAAUGACCCUUCCCCUGUACUCUUUUCUUAUUCUCAUCCUUUCAAAAUUUGUCAAAAAUCGCAAGAUGUUUUCACCUGAUUGUCGUCGGAACCUCCAUUAACACCGCUUCCUUUUGUAAGUCAUCUGUGACCUAACUCCUUUAUGUCGAUUGACCUUUCUAUUAACAAAAGAAUCUUUACUCUACCAAGGUAAUGUCCUUCUCUUCAAACACUUUAUUAUUCUUCUUUUCUGUUUUUGACCAUUUCUUUGAUUAAGUGUUUUGGGUUUGGAGAUGAAGGAGGCAUUCGUUCAGCUUUGUAGGUCUCCCAGUUGUAAGUGAUUCCGUUCAAUUUCUUUACUUUCUUCUGAUCUUUGUUGUAAACUUUCAAUCUUUCUUUUUCUCAACUAUGUGUUGGAAUGGAGAUUCCUCAAUCUACACAGACUAGGAUCUAAAGCUAACCUCCUAAAGUUAAGAUCAUAUAUGACACUGAUCUUUUCUAUUUUUUUGUGAAUUCUUUUGUGUUCUAACAUAGUUUAGCAAAAUCAUUUUAGCAUCAUUAAUGUCCGUGGGUAUAUGGCAUAUAUUUUUGUAAAUAAUUCUGUUUUUUUUACUUUUAUUGUUGAACUUUUGUCUACUUUCGUACAUGUAACUUCUGUGAACACUCAUGCUUGUUGUCAUUUAAUCUUUCUAGUGAUUAUUCUUGUUGUUUGGUAUUUACCGCUUAUUUGUAUUAAGGAUCCUCUUACCCAUAGUUGGUAGGUUUGUGAAAAUGUGAAAAUCUGUUUUAGUGCCUUCCUUCUCUAUUAGGUUAGCUAAAUAGUUAGCCAACUUUACUUUCUCUAAAAUAUGCUGAAGCUCAAUAUUUUAGUUUGAAACUUCCCUCUAAUCUCCUCCAUUAUCUCUACUAUCUCCCAUGGUACUCUCCAAACUUUCUUGAUAAGUUUAAUCAUUGUAAGGGAGUCAUUUUCAAGGAUUUUCUCUUGUGCGUCAAUACUCGACCAAAAUAUCAGAGCCUUAAGGAUAGAUUUAGCUUUCACUUCCAUAUUUAGGGCCUAACUUAUUGCUCUAGCUUGCAUAGAUUAAAUCCCCUUUGUGAUCUCUGGAGUAGAAAUGUUAAGAGUUGGGACAAGGGUUGCCCUUUUUUGCUCCAUCUGUGUUAAACUUUAUGCUCCUAUGACUAGUAACUCCCAUUUGACCACAUGGUGGUGUAGUAUUGGAUUAUAUCUCCCAAAAGUAUUGAUCACAUCUCUCCAAUUUUGUCCCUGAAGCUAUACCUACAGAAAUAAUAAUUUCAGCAUCUGAAGUGCAGAUGUUUGAAUAUAUUGCACCAUUAAACAAAGCUAGUUCUCUUCUAUGCUUUUUUUUAUUCCUUCUCUUCCACAGUUUUCAUAGGAUUAAAGUUAGAAGUGCCUUAUAUACGUGCUGUAAUUUACUGUUGGUUUAAGUAGUCCACCAAUUCAUGAUCAACAAAUGUAGUUGUAGGCCUUCAAUAUUCAUACCUAUACAAGUAGCAAACUACUUCCAUGGCAUUUUAGCUAUGGGACCUAUUAAAAAAAGAUGUGUCAUUAUUUCAAGAUUAUUCCGCUCACAGCACAAACAUCUUGACAACAAAUUUAUUCUAAUUCUUUUUAGAUUAGAAUCUGUAGCAAUCCUUCCCUUCCAAGAUCUUUAUAAAAAAAUACUAUUAAAGAGGUAUUCCUUUCAUCCAUAUUGUCUUUUAAACUUCCUGUACUUUUUUCCUAUUUUUUAAUUAUAUCCCAAGUUGAUUUAGUUGAGAGUUUCCCUUUGGUAUUCCCCAUCCACUAUGCUUAUCAAAUUCUCUUUCAUAAAUUAUUGGGAUAAUGUUUUCAAAAAUAUGAUCCACCAUCUCAGUUGAGCUAUACUAUACUAGUUUCUGUCUAUUCCACCCUCUAUCUACUUCUCUCCAUUCCACCCUCUGUCUACUAUAAAAUCUUUAACCUUUAUUUCCUCCUCAUCUUGUCUAUCCUCCUUCACACAGUAAAGAGCACCUAAUUUUGUCUAGUUAUCAAACCAAAAGCUAGCAGCCCCUGACUUGACUUGCCACAAAAUAUUAUGUUCUAUAUUUUCUCUCAGCAUAAUCAUAUUUCUCCAAGCAUGAGAUACUCCUGAUCCUUGUUCUAAAAGUGGAUUCCACUUUUUGCAAUACUUGUUUCAUAUAAAAUCACUCCACAAUGAGCUUGUGGAUUUUCUAUAGUUUCACCAAUGUUUUACGAAAAGAGCAUGUACAACAUGAUUUAAGGAUAUAAAUCUAAUCCCUCUUCUUCUUUUGGACAGCAAAAUGAGUCCUAUGUCACCCAAUGUUUUACUUUGGAGCCCUCUAUAUUAUCCAGAAAUUUUUUUCCAUUAUUUUGUGUAUCUGAUCUAUUAUACCUUUUGGUGGAUUCAUUUGCUGACAUUGGUAUAUGGGCAUUGAUUAGAGUAAAUGCAUUAUCAACGUAUAUCUUCCUGCAUAUGUAAGCAUCUUGCUUUGCCAAAUCAUGAAACUUCUUAUAAUUUUCUUUAUCAGACCGUUAAAGUACACCUUAUUAUUUCUCCCAUAAAAUAUAGGGCAUCUUAGAUAAGUAAAUGGGAAAGUGCCUUGCCCAAUACCUGUUAUCCUUCUUAAUCUCUACCCCACCAUUGUAGGCACCUUUUCAUGUAGAUAUUAAAAUCUCUUAGACAGAUUAAUCAAUUGAUUUGACACUUUUCUCAUUUCUUUAGAAUCUUCAUCAUCUUAUUUAUGAAUUCCCCUAUCUUGAGCAUAAUAAAAGAGUGUCAUAUACAUAGGAUGAAUGAUUAAUUUUCUCACUCCAUAUUGGAAGGCCAAAUCCAUUGAACUCCUUAUCCUCCUUGAGAUUGUUAAGGCCUCUUGCAAGGACUUUAGCUGUAAUAAUAAACAAAGUGGGAGAUAAGGGAUACCCUUGUUUUAGUCCUCUACUAGAUGCAAAGAAAUCAUAGGAUUAUCCAUUAACUAGUAAAGAGUACCAGUUAUUGGAGAACAGUCUCCAAAUCAUGUCUAUCAUUAUUUGUCCAAAUCCAAACUUUCUUAUUACUUUAGUUAAAUAUAUCCAUGCCACUUUAUCAUAAGCUUUUGUCAUGUCUAAUUUAACAACAACAUUGUGGUGUUAUUUUUUUUAUUAAUAUCCUUGUUUAUCUCUUGUGCCAAAAAAAUAUUCUCAGCAAUACUCCUCCCUUUCAUGAAUCUUGUGUGGCUAUUUAAGAUUAUUUUGAAAAAAUUCUCCACUAACCUUUUAUUUAUUAUCCUAGAGAUAACAUUAUUCAUGAAUAUACCCAGAAUGAUAGGCCGAAGGUCUAAAAAUUUUCUCACUUUCUUCUUCUUGGGAAUUUGUACCAAGCUAGUAUGAGUAAUAUAUCUAGGUAAUUCAUAUCCACAAAAAGGCCAUUACUAUUUUUAAGACAACUGACUUUGUAAUCUCCCAGCUAUACUUAUAAAAUUCUCCCAAAAGACCAUGUAGGCCACAAGCACUAUUAUUUUUAGAGCAAAAAAUAACUUUUUUCACUUCUUUCAUGUUAGGUGAUCCUAUCAUGUACUUAGUAUCCUAUUUAGUUAUCAAACCUGGGAUAUGUUCCAACAUUGAAUCAUCCUUAGCCCUUAUGUUUUCCUUAAAUUUUUCUUUAAAAACUCUGACUGCCUUAUCUCUAAUAUCUUGAUUGUUUUAAAAACUUUUUCCUUGUUCAUUAUCUAUCUUAUGUAUCAUUAGCUUUUUUUUCCCUCUAAUAUAUGCAUGUAAAAACUUGGUAUUUCUGUCCCAAUCUCUGAACCACUACAUUUUAGCUUUUUUUCCAGUAUUUUUCUUCUAUCUUCUAAAAUUUCUUCAACUUAUUUCCUCGUUCCUUAGAUCAUAUCUAUUUUCUUCAAUAGGAUAAUCUCUUACUACACUUCUUUCAUUCUCACCUCAUCAUCAAAAGUUGCCAACUUUUGAAUAAUGUCUUCAUAGGUAGCUUUACUCCACAAUGCUAGGGAUUUUUUUAACCUCUUUAACUUUUCUUGAAAAACAUAGAAAGAUCAUCCUUCUUUACUAUCCUCUCAAACCUUUUCCACCAACUCUAUGUAUGUAGGUGUUUAGUCCAUAAGUUAAGAAAUUAAGUAGUUUCACCACAUGUCCUGUAUUGUUCUACAUAUAACAUGUAGAGGAGCAUAAUUAGAGUCUUCCAUUAUAAGAUUUUGCACCUAACAAACUAAUAUAAGUCUAAUACCACAAAUUUUCAAGCUCUAGGCCCCUUAAUAUAUAGGACACUAAAUUAGCUUUUGAAUGCUUCAAGUCUCGUCUUAAUCUAAAACCGUAUCAAAAAGUUAUACAAGUUUUCCUUAAGUACAUGUGAGCUGUCAGUGGUUAUGACUCAAAUAACGACCCAUAACCAUACAUUAUGAGUCUUUAUGAGCAGUCGUAGUUACAAUAAUAAGUAAUCAAGAAACUAUUCCAUUGACAAAGAGUAGACCUUACAAGUCGUGAUCAGUGACUAAGAGUCGUAAGGAGGGACUCAUAGUCACACCAGUUUCCACUAAGGAACCUAGUACUUUCAUCACGAGUUUAGCCUACAACUCAUAGUCAGACCUUAUGUGUCAUUAAGUAGACUCGUGGCCUAAUAAGUGUAUAAUCAAAGUAUUCAUCCCAAUGGUUACGAGGAUAGCAUAUGGCUCGUAGUCAGACCUUACAAGUUGUAUUGUGGACUCAUAGUCUGAUAAGUGAAUAACCCAAGACUCAAGCUUCAGAUUACGACUCGUAACUAGAUGUCACAAUUCAUAGGGUGAGUCAUAAUGACUGGGACCCAGAAUCUCUGCAUAUUUUAACAUGGGCUUUUGGGUAAUUUCACUCCCUUCUUAACCCAAACCCACAUCCUUAGAUCUUUCAAAACACCAAUUAUCAAGCAUAAAAAUUACCUUAAUCCCUCAGAACAUCAAAAUCAUUUCUCUUACAUAAAAGAAAAACAAUUCUCUUCCCCCUUAAGAGAAAAUUAUUGUUUCUCAAGAACAAGAUCAACUUUAAGGAUUUAACCAAAUCUUUUACUUCUGGUAUGUGGGAUAUUCAUUAAUAUGCCCUUUUCUCCCAUUGAUUCCCAAAGUUAUCCCAAAACUCUCAACUUUAAUCCUAUUAUUUAUGCUUAAGGUUUCAUGGCAAUUAUGAAUUUUCUAGAAACCAAAGUCUAUCCGUUAAUUUGAACCAUAUGUACAUGAUGUCUUCAUAAGCUUAACAUCCUCCCAUACUCAGAAUCAUGACUUCUCUUACUUUAGUAAGAUAUUAUAUCUUGGUGUCUUUAAUAAUGAAAUUCCUUACCAUAUUUUAAUAAUGUUAUUAUAUUUAAUGUAUUAUUCAGUGCAAGUGGGUUAUGAACGCCCGAUACCUAGAUAUUCAUACAAGUUUCAAAUUUUCAGGUUACAAGUCAUUCAGAUCAUGAUUGCAUCAUUAUAUUUAGAUUAUGAUAUUUAUAUUGAGUGUUCAUCAAUUGUGAAUCAUGUUAAACUUUUAUCAGUAUCAGUGUUAAUGUCAUUUCAGUUGAGAGUACCACUUAGCACUAAGAUAACCUAGGGAUGAAGGGUCACCCUUUAGUAGAGGAUUGGGACCUUUUGUAGAAGUCAUAGAGUCUAGAACUAUGUUACUAGCGUAGGUUGUAAGAGGUCACCCUCCAGUUGAGGACUGACACUGUCUUAGGGGUCACCCUCUAGUAAAGGACUAAUACCCUAGUCCUUCGGGACCCCAGUUUAAUGGAUCCACACAACCAUUAUUGGUAACCUUGGUAAUAUACUGACACCCUUCCAACUGGAGUUAGAGGUUAGACCCCGACUAACUCAGAUUAUGGUAUAUUAGUUUAAUAUUAUCCCCCAUUGUUUUAGUUUAGCAUUUAUAUCAUGAAAAUUCAGGUUUGCGUGAUCAAGUGUCCAUAUAUUAGUUAUUCAGUUAUUUAGAUCAUUUUAGUACGUGUUUAUGCUUAGUCUUGCAUUCGUUUUACAUGUUCAUUCAUUUAUGCUUAAUGACUAUAUAUAUACCAGUAAAUUUCUAUCUCGCAUAGCAGUAAAUUCAAAGUAUUGACACCAUACUUUCUUUUGUGCUAUGUUGUUAUAGAAUAUAGGUUCCAAAGCUCAGUUCCCAGAUCGUAUGUGGUCCGUCCCUAUAUCACUCAGCUGUAGCAUUAGUUAGUCCUCAUCAGUCGAGGACUUGUUAUAUUAUUUAUCACAAUUUCCAGGAUUUCAGUUCACAUUAUUUUAAUAGUUAAAGUUAGUUGGGGACCUUUCCCAAAAACACAUCAUGUUUAGAGGCUUCCAGAUAGUCAGAUAGUUGGUUAUGUUUUUCGGUGAUGUUUUUAAGACCCUUUAAUUAUGGAUUUGGUUAUUCAGUUAUUUCAUUAAAUGACUUUUGCAUAACAUUUUAUUAUAUUUCUGUUAGUAUUUAUAGCUUUUGACAGUUCAUAGGUUAUCUUGAGAUCAUAUAUGGCCUUAAGCACCAUGUUACCACUAGAGAGUAUUCUCGGGUCAUGAAAAACUUGGUAUUAGAGAACAAGGUUUAAAGUGUCCUAGGGUGUAUAACUACUGCAUUAAAUAGAGUCUUAUUCAUGGGUAUGAAAUACGCCACACUUAUGGGCUAGAGGCUAUGAGACGUUUUAGGAAAGUUUCCCUUCUUUUAGUAUUUACGUCAUGUAAUAGAGUGCAAGCUACAUUAAACUUCUAUUUCUAACUUGUUCUAUAGAAUUUAUAGAAAAUGCCUCCCAUAAGGGCUAAUGGAGGGAUAAAUAAGGACUAUCCCGUACUACCUGUUCCUAAAGACCCUCUAAAAGAGUAGGGCUAUCACGCUGAAUUCAGGGCCGCUUUUAUAGAAUUGGUCCAAUUAAUGGCUGCCUCGAAUAAUCAACAAGGCAUUAGUCCAACUAACCCUGUGGUGAGUAUGGAAGAUACUAGAACCUAGGAAUUCACUCAGAUGAAUCCUAUAAUAUUCUCUGGAUCUAAGUCUGAGGUGGAAUCACAAUAGUUCUUAGACUAUGUAUAGAUGGUGAUAGAUAUCAUAAGUGUUACUAUGAGUGAGAGUGCUAACUUAAUUUCUUACCAAUUAUAAGGGGUGACUCUCACAUGGGUUAACUAGUAUAAGGAGGAUAGAGGUACCGAUGCAGGGCUUAUAGAGUGGGAUGAGUUUGCUACUGCUUCUUGGAUAGGUUCUUCCCACUCGAGUUGAGGGAGGCCAAAUUAUAUGUGUUUAUAAAUUUGAAAUAGGUUAUCAUAAGUGUGAAAGAGUAUUCACUCAAGUUCACCCAAUUAGCAAGGUAUGCUCUGACUAUGGGUGCUGAUUCUAAGGUCUAGGAUGAGCAACUUUUGUCUGGUAUUUCUGAGGAUAUAGUCAAGGAGUGUAGAACCCCUAUGUUGAUUAAGGAAAUAGAUGUCUAUAGACUAAUAGUUUAUGCUUAGCAGAUUGAGAAAGAGAAGCUCAAAGAAAAAGAAAGGAUUAGAGGGCCAGAACUGGUAGUUUUAACUUUUCUCAAUAGAGGUCAGAUGGGGGUAAUCAUUCCCAAUUCUGCCAGAAAUCUUUAGCUCCAUCCCCAUCGUUUACCAGCGCUCCAGUGCCUAAAUUCAGAUAUGAUAAUCAUGAUAGAGUGCCAGGAUCUAAGUCCCAGGAUAGUUUAAACAGUGGUUGCACAAAUCCAAUUUGUAAGAGGAAUGAUAAGAAUUAUGAGGGUGAAUACAUAGAAGGCAGUGAUGUGUGUUUUGGAUAUGGCAAGUCAGGACACAAGAUUAGGGAUUCCCUAGUGCUUUCCCAGAAGGGAAAAAUUAUCAUCAUCAGGUCAGUUUGACUUCUCAUCAACUCCAGCAAGUCGCCCGACUAAGUAAGGGGCCACCUUCAGUGCCACUAGUGGGCAAUGUCAGAAUUGACUCUAUGCCCUCUAGACUCGUCAGGAUUAGGAGAUUUCUCCUGAUGUGGUUACUGGUACAUUACAAGUCUUCCACCUUCAUGUUUAUGCAUUAUUCCUUGAAUUUCACUUUCUUUUGUGACUCUUUACAUAGUAGUAAAUUUUGGUACCAAUCCCAAAAUCCUAAUUGAGACCUUCCCAGUUCCUACCUAUGUUGAUAGUUCUAUCAUAUCCAAUGGGUAUACAAAAAUUUCUCGAUCAUAGUAUCUUAGAAAUUUACCUUAGUAGACCUUGUAGAAUUAUAGAUGAUUGAUUUUGAUGUCAUUUCUAAGAUGGAUUGUCUCUACUCUUGCUAUACCUCAGUUGAUUUUAGAAAUAGAAUUUUCCAGUUCUAGUUCCUUAAUGAGCAAGUCAUAGAAUGGCUGGGUAGUACCUCAGUUCUUAUAGGUUGAUUUAUCUCUUACCUUAACGCAAGAAAGAUGUUCUGUAAGAGUUGUAUUUGUCACCUUAUUCGAGUCAAGGACUCAAGUUUCAAAACUUCAAGUCUUGAAUUUAUUCUAGUAGUAAAUAUGUUUCCAGAAGUAUUUCCUGAAGUUACUCCUAAAAGGGUAAUUGACUUCGGAAUUGAUCUAUUUCUAGAUACUUGCCUAUUUUAAUCCCACCUAACCGAGUGGCUUCUGCUGAGCUUAAGGAAUUGAAUAAUUAGUUGAAAGAUCUCUUAUAUAAGUUCUUCAUUAGGACUAGUGUUUCCCCACGGGGUGCUUCAGUCCUCUUCAUGGGCAAGAAAGAUAAUUCUCUCAGAAAGUUCAUCGAUAACUGUCAGUUGAACAAAGUCACAAUCAAGAAUAAGUAUCCUCUCCCCAAUAUUUUUGACUUGUUUGACCAACUUAUGGGUGUAAGUUAUUUAUCUGAUAGAACUUAUAUCCUUUUAUCAUCAACUUAGAGUCAGAGAAUGUGACAUUCUCAAGAUAACCUUCAAAACUCGAUAUUGUCACUUUGAAUUUAUAGUUAUGUAUUUUGGAUAAGCAAAUGCCCCUGAAGAUUUCAUGGACUUGAUGAACAAAGUGUUCAAGCAGUACCUGGACACUUCGUCAUGGUCUUCAUAGAUGACGUCUUUGUCUAUUAUUAUAGUGAAGGUGAUCAUGCAGACCCUUAACGAUCACCAGUUAUUCCCCUAGUUCAGCAAGCAUAAAUUCUGGUUGAAAUUAGUAUCUUUUCUCGGUCACAUCAUUUUUGGUGAUGACAUUAGAGUUUAUCCUCAAAAGAUCAAAGCAAGAAGAAAUUGGUCCAUACCUAUCUCCUUAUUAGAUAUCAAGAGUUUCUUAGGUUUAGCUGGUUACCUUUAUAGGGUUCAUGUGGAUGUGUUCACUGAUCAAAAGAGUUUAUAGUAUGUGUUUAGUUAGAAAGGCCUAAAUCUUCAUCAGAGAAGGUGGCUUAAAUUGUUAAAAGACUAUGAUAUGAAUGUGUUGCAUCAUCCGGGUAAGGCCAAUAUUGUGGCCGAUGCCCUCACCAAGUUAUCUAUGGGAAGUGUGGCCCAUGUUGAGGAAGAUAAGGAGUUAGUUCGUGAAGUUCAUCAGCUUGAUAGAUUAGGUGUUCGAUUGGGUGAUUCAAUCGAAGAAAAUGAGUGGGUUUAGAAUGGUUCAAAAUUUUCUUGAGGUAAAUAUAAAGAAAGACAGAGAUCCUAUUCUAGUGAUAUUAAAAGAAAAAGUUCGAGAUUAGAAAGUUUAGGUUUUCUCCUAAAUAGGAUAUUGUGAGCUUCAUUUUUAAGGCAAGUUAUGUGUUCAGAAUAUGGAUGAUUUAAUACAAUGAAUGUUAGUAGAAGCACAUGGUUCAUGAUAUUCUAUUCAUCCAGGAGACACUAAGAUGUACCAUAAUUUGUGGGAGGUUUAUUGGUGGAAUGGUUUGAAGAAGGAUAUUGUAGAGUUUGUGGCUAAAUGCCUUAGUUGUCAGUAGCUUAUGGUUGAGCAUCAGAGGCCUAGUGGUAAACAUUUUAGGAGUUCAACAUCCCCACUUCAAAGUGGGAUAUCAUGAAUAUGGAUUUUGUUAUAGGGUUAAAUCAUACACAUCGUUAGCAUGAUUCUUUUUGGGUCAUUAUCGAUAUAAUGAGCAAAUCAGCUCAUUUCUUGUAAGUUCACACUUCAAAUUCAGCCGAGGAUUACACUAGACUAUAUCUCAAAGAGCUAUUAAAGUUAUAUGGAGUCCUGUUGACCAUCACUUUAGAUAUAUAUACCGAGUUUACCUCUUAUUUUUGGAAAGCUUCUUAGAAGGGUCUUGGUACCUAAGUUCAUCUCAGUACAACUUUUCAUCCAUAGAUACAUGGUUAGGUAGAGAGGAUAAUUCAUACCUUAAAAGACAUAUUGAGGGCGUCUGUUAUCUAUUUCAAAGGUAUUUAGGAUUACCGCUUACCUUUGAUUUAGUUUUCUUGCAAUAACAUCUAUCACUCUAAUAUUCGGAUGACUCUGUUUGAGUCUCUCUAUGGUAGGAGGUUUAGAUCACUUAUUGGUUGGUUUGAAGUUGGUGAGGCUUCUUUGAUAGGGAAAUAUUUAGUAUAGAAGGCAAUGGAAAAAGUCUAGUUGAUUCUAGAAAGGUUGAACAUAGCCCAAAGUCGUCAAAAAUUCUAUGCAGAUAUGAGGAGAAAAGAGCUUGAAUAUGAUGUUGGAGAUUUUGUGUACCUAAAAAAUUUUCCCAUGAAAGGGGUGAAGAUAUUUGGUAAGAAAGGAAAGCUUAGGUCCCGUUAUAUUUGUCCAUAUAGGGUUUUGAGCCAUUUUGGGAAGGUAGCCUAUGAUUUAGAGUUGCCUGUAAAAUUAGAAUCAGUGCAUCCGAUGUUCCAUGUCUCUUUGCUAAAGAAAUGCAUUAGUGAUCCAACUUCAGUCAUUCUGGUAGAGAGUAUGGGUAAAAAUAUAGCCUCUCCUAUGAGGAAGUAGUAGUUGAAAUCCUUGAUCGUCAGAUCAUUGGUGAGGAAUAAGGAGGUCACCUUAGUAAAGGUUUUGUGGAGGAAUCAGUCAUUGAGGGAGCUACUUGGAAAGCAGAAGCCGAUAUACGAACCGAGUAUUCCUAUCUCUUCCCUAUGAAUUCAUAUUUAGCUUGAGGUAAUGGUUUCUUUAAAUCAAUUCUCUCAUUUUCUACUCAUCUACCCAACCAUCCUUAUGCCAUAGCACAUAUUCAUGAAUUCUGUUCAGUCCAUGUAUCAUGUUUCAUAUUCAGAUAUUAAGUCAUGAUUCAGCCCAUAAGUAUUCAGUGCAUGAUCUCUAUCUUCCUAGUAUUCCAACUCAGCUAGUUUCACUCAAGGAUGAAUAAUCCCAAGGGGGAGAUAUCAUAAUACCCCAAAUUUCCAUGCUUUAGACCCCUUAAAAAUAGGCCUCUAAAUUAGCUUUACAAUGCGUCAAGUCUUAUCUUAAUCCGAAACUGUGGAAAAAGUUAUACAAGUUUUCGUUAAGUACCUGUGAACUGCGAGUGGUUAUGACUUACAUAAAUAUCCAUAACAAAAUGUAACAAGUUGUUAUGACCAUUCGUAGUCACAAUAAUGAGUAAUUAAAAGCUAUUCUAGUGAUAACGAGUCAUAAUUAGUGACUAUGAGUUGUGAGGAUGGACUCAUAGUUACAUUAGUGUCCACCAAGAAACCAGUCCUUCGAUCACAAGUCUAGCCUAUAACUCAUAGUCAGACCUUAUGAGUCGUUAGGUGGAAUUGUGACCUAACUAGUGUAUAAUUCAAGUAUUUAUCGUAGUGGUUAUGAUUCUAACAUACAACUCGUAUUCAGACCUUAUAGGUCGUAAUGUGGACUUAUAGUGUGACUAAUGAAUGACCCAAGACUCAUGCUUUAGACUACGACUCGUAACUAGUAGUCAUGAGUCAUAGGGUGAGUUGUAACAACUGGGGACCCAGAAUCUCUACACAUUUUAAUAGAGGUUUUUUAGUAAUUUCCCUUCUUAACCCAAACCCACGUCGUUUGAGCUUCCAAAACGUUAGUUAUCAAGGGUAAAGAUUACCCUAAUCCCUCAAAACAUAAAAAUCACUUCUCCUACACAAAAGAAAAGCAAUUUUCUUCUCCCUUAAGAGGAAAUUAGGGUUUCUCAAGAUUAAGAUAAACUUUUAAAAUCUCACCAAAGCUUUUACUUCGAGUAUGUGGGAUAAUCGUCAAUGGCCCCCUUUAACCCAUUGAGUCCCAAAGUUUUCCUAAAUCUCUUAAGUUUAAUCCUAUGCUUUAUGCUUAAGGUUUUAUUGCAAUUAUGAAUUUUCUAGAAAUUACAAUCUAUCCUUGAAAUUGAACCAUGUGUACAUAUUGUCCUCAUAAGCUUAACAUCCUCUUAUACUCAGAAUCAUGAAUUCUGUUAGUUUAGUAAGAUUUUAUAUUUUGGGGUCUUAAAUUAUGAAAUUUCUUGCCGUAUUCUAAUAAUGUUAUUAUAUUUAAUGUAUUAUUCAUUGCUGAUGGGUUAUGAACACCCAAUACCUAGAUAUUCAUGCAUGUUUCAGAUUUUCAAGUGACUAGUCAUUUAGAUCAUAAUUGCCUUAUUAUAUUCAGAUUAUGAUAUUCAUGUUGAGUAUUCAUUAGUUGUGAAUCAUGUUAAGAUUUUAUCAAUAUCAGUGUUAGUUUAGUUAGGAGUAAGAUUUAGCACUGAGCGAACCUAGGGAUGAAAGGUCACCCGCCAAUAGAGGACUAAGACAAUAGUAGAAGUCCCUGAGUUCCAAAACUACAUUGCUAGUGUAGGUUAUAAGUGGUCACCCUCCAGUUGAGGACUGGAACUCUCUUAGGGUUGACCCUAUAGUAGAGGACUGACGCCCUAGUCAUUUGGGACACUAGUUUAGUGGAUCCACACAACUAGUGUUGGUACCCUUGGCAAGGUGUUGACACCCUUCCAACAGGUUGGACCUCAAUUAGAUCAAAUUCAGGCAUGUCAGUUAAAGGUUAGCUCUUACAGUUUUAGUUAAGAAUUGAGAUCAUGGCAGUUUAGGUUUGCAUGAACAAGUUUCCAUAUAUCAGUUAUUUAGUUAUUCAGAUCAUUUCAGUACAUGUUUAUUCUUGGUGUUGCAUUUAUUUUACAUGUUUAUUCGAUCAUGCACAGUGCCUUUGUGUAUACUAGAAAAUUCAUAUCUCAUAUACCAUUACAUUCAAAGUACUAACCCCAUGCUCUCUGUUAUAGUAUGUUGUCUUAUAACAUGGGUUCGGGUGUUCAGUUCCCACAUUGGACGUAGUCCGUUCCUAUAUUACUCAGCUACAGCAUUGGUGAGUCUUUAUCAGUUGAGAAAUAGUUAUAUUAUUUAUCAUACUUUCCAGGAUUUUAGUUAUCAAUAUUUUAGUAGUCAGAUUUAGCUGGGGACCUGUUUUAACAACUCAUCAUAUUUAUAGGCUUUAAAACAGUCAGAUUUUUUUCAGCGAUGUAUUUCAUAUCCCUUUGUUAUAGAUUUAUUAUUUAGUUAUUUCAUUAAAUGACUUCCGCAAAAUAUUUUAUUAUCUUGCUUUUAGUAUUUACAUCUUGUGCUAGUUUAUGGGCAACCUUGGGGUCACUUGUUGUAAUGCCUCACAAAAUUCUCUUCCAGUCUGAGCCUUAGAGCAUUUUUGGUAAAGCAAAAAUCCGAGACAAAAUAUUUUAGAAAUAUCUUCCCAAGUAUGAAAUACUUUGAAUCAUGUGGUAAUAUAUUUGAGCAUUAAUUAAGAUCAUAGAUGUCCCCUAACUCAUUGACGAGUUGAAAGCUUUUCUAUCGUUCAUGUUUUAGUAAUCGUCAAAAUUUGGGUCAACUUCAAUCGAUCAUAACUCCUUGUAUAUAUUGAAUUAGAGGAACUACUGUAUAUCAAAUGAAAUCUCUUUGAAUCAUCUUUCCAAUGAUACUAAUUUCAUCAAAAACUGAUAUCGGAGUAAAGAGUUAUGCCUAUUUUACACCAGCAUAUCUGGCCGAGAAACUGGUGAGGAAAAUUGUGACAAGCCGUCAUGCCCGUGAUGGCCUAUCACCGAAUUUCGUCAGCCCUGGGCAAAAAAUCAAUAAUUUUACCCCUUUUUGUGACGACAAUUCAUGACGGCCUAUCACGGGCCUGACGGCUUGUCACGAAUAUUGUCAAGAAUAUUUUUCCAACAAUUUUUGAACAUUUUUGCAAGGGUAUUUUGGUCAUUUUUCACCUUUUGGAAGCCUGUAUAAAUAUGGGAAACCUCAUCCAAAAAUCUAAUUUCCUUCAUUUUCUCUUCCAAUUCUCAAAAGAGAAAAUAUCUAGGAUUUCAUUCAAGAACCCUAAUCUUCCAAAAAUACUCCAUAAAUUCUUCAAGAUUUCUUAAAGAAUCAAGUUCCUCAUAGUGUGGGCUUCAAGAAUCAUUUAUUAUGAGUGUGGAUAGAGUCUCAAGCAUUAGAAUUUAUCAAAUUUCAAAGAUUAAGGUAUUUAGAUAUUGAUUCUUGGGUCUCUUUCAUCCAAAAAGAUCAAGAACCCUUUUUAAAACUAAAUUAUUUUUAUGUUUAUGAGUUGUUAAUGAUUUUUAGGAGUUUAAAUUGAUGUUUAAUGUGUUUUUGAGUUUUGAUUUAUGUUUUCCUACAAAAUUUAUGAGCUUUGACCCUAGUAUGUGGAAUUCACGUGAUUUUUGUGAUAGACCUUCUUGGAGUUGUUUUCUAUGUGAUGUGUUUAUGACUUUUGGGUGUAGAAAUGGUUGAAUAAGUGAAGCAUGUCCGCCAUAGGUUUGAUAAAGAGUAUAGGUGAAGCAUAAGGGCCAUUAUAGUAUGUUGAAUAGGAAACCUCAAAUUGUGAGUUACUUUGUGCUUAGUGUUUGACAAAAUGCCCAAGUGAAUAAAUUAUUCCAUGGUAGUAGGAAAUUCCUAAAUAAGUGUGAACCCGUGCAUGUGUAGUGUUUUGUUGAAGGACCUUAGUGAACAAGUGGAGAGGUGAUAGUAGUAAUUUCCCCAAUUAUGUGCUCUUGAUAUAUGCUAAGCUUUUAAUACAUGCCAAGUGGUUAGCAAGUAGGUUAUGACGUGAUAGUAUAAAGUUUCCCCAAGCUAUGUGAUAUCCAAACAUGUGUCAAUAUUGAUAUAAGUAUGAAAUAGCUGAGGUAAAACCUUGUUGAAUGUAGUACGAUUUAGUAGUAUGUUUCCCCUAUGUUAUUAUAUGAUUAUGAUUCCGAGAUGCCUAAAGUGACCCCUUAGCGAAUGUAAAAAUUGCUUUCCUGAUUAUGAGAUGCUUUGAUGAUUGCGAUUAUGCAUUAGUGAUUGUGAUGAUAUAUGAAUGAAUAUGAUGAUGAAUGAAUGAUUAUGCUUUACUUUAUGUCAUCAAGUCAUGGGGCUAUUUAUACCUAACAAUAGAGCUGUUUUCUAGAGCCCGUGUCAGUUUCUCGAUAAUUUCAGUCGAGCCAUGAUUCUUAGAACUCAAUGAAUUAUAGAACUUUGUAUCCUCAGAUAAGUGCAGAACUUAAGAAAGCUUAGUAAUCUCAGUUAUCUGUGUAAUCUCUAUUUACCAGUAAUCUAGCCUCAAUCUUGUAAUUAGCUCAGUUCUAAUAGUAUUCAAGUGAUUCAUUUCUAAUCUGAGAAGCAAUUUGAGUAAUCUAUUCAAGAUCUGUAUUGUCAGUCAGAUACCAUGAUUCGAUAUAUUUUUUAUCAUAUACAGAACUAAGUGAUAUCAGCGUAACUUAGUCAGAUCUUUUGAGAAACACGAUGAGUAUCAGAUUCAGCUUUGUCCAGUAUAGUCUAAGAAUCAACCCAGAGUCUUUCAAUUAGGAGUAGAAUUAAACACCGAGCGAACCCAAGGAUGGGAACUCACUUACUAGUAGAGGGGGUGAUUCUUACAAGCCAUCCUUGCAUUCCAGAACUGUAUAGCUAGCACAGGAAAAGGAGUCACCCACUAAGAAAGCUUGACAUACUAUUGAGGGUCAAUUCCAGAGAGCCUGACCUUAGAGAAAAAAUAAUGUCUUUACCUAGGGUACGAUAUUGUCACCCUCCCAACCGGGGGUAGAGGUUGGACCCCAUCCAUGGUAGGUUGGGGUAUGUCGGUUAGAUGACUGUUUCCCAUAGUUUUGGUUUUAGAUUCAGUCUUUAUUUCAGAAUCAAUCUUCAGAAAUCAGGACUGUGUGGUACAGUCAUUUAUCUCAGUGAGAAACUCAGAUAGUUCCAUUAAUUUAUGGACCAUCCCGUCAGAUAGGAUUGGUCUUAUAUACAAUUAUUUGAUAUCAUAUUUGGAGAUAUGCCGCCAGAUAAGCUUGAUCACAGUACCAUAUUUCUAUUAAAUAUUCUUGUCGUCAGAUUCAGCUAUAAUCAUAUUUCUUAUCAUUGAUAAAGCUUCCAAAGUAAUCUGUUAGAAAAGUUUAUCUCAGUCUUAGACCAUGUUAAGUAUUCAUAUUAUUAUAUCUAGAGAUCUCCCAUCAGAUAGGCUUGUUCUCCAUCUUAAAUUCUAUUAAGUAUUCAUGUUGUCAGAUUCGGACAUGAUCAUACUUCUUAUCAUUAAGAAUCGCUCUGAAAUAAUUUAUUAGAAAAGUUGAUCUCUAAUUCUAUCAGUCAAAGACAGUAAGCUUAGAGUUCAGCCCUUGAUGUAACAACAUCUAGAUCCUCAGUUAUCAGUAUCAGAGGAGUGAGUGAUUCCGUAUCUCUUUUUUAGUAGUGAGUUCAGUAUACAGUAAGUUGGUGUUCGAGUUUCAGUAUCUAGAGUUACGAUGCUCGUGUUCAUGUUCUAUGCAUUCAUGCAUGUGUUCUCAUGAGGCAUCUUCAUGAUUAGCCAGUUUAAAUAUUGUGCAUGCAUGAGCCCUUGCAUUAGCCUACCUCGUCUACAUACUCGGUAUAUUUCUGUACUGACGCAUUUGCGCUAUGGUGUUUUAUUUGACACCAUAGGUUCAAAGGCACAGGAUCCAGAUUAUCCUCAGUAGUUUAGUCCUGGUCAGCAGUAGUAGUAGUGAGUCCUUUUCUUUCGAGGACAAAUCUCAGUUCUCUAUUAUUGCUUCUUACCUUUUUUAUUUUUCAGUUAGUGGAGUUAGUUGGGGACCUAUCCCAUGAAACCCAUAGUUCAGACAGUUUAGAGGCUUUCCAGACAGAUGUAUUAGUAUUCAAUUUUCUGUAUUAUGAGUAUUCAUAGAUGUGUUGAACCUUAUGGCUAGUUUCCAUAUUUAUUUCUGAUAUUAUGCAGUUUACAUGUACAGAUAUUAGUAAAGGGUUAGUUUAUGGUCCUUCGGGGUCAUAAGCUCUGUGUGAUAUCUCGGGAUGGGAUCUCGGGGCAUUACAAACUUGGUAUCAGAGCCUAAGGUUCAAGAGUGUCCUAGGGAGUCUGAAAAACUGUAUCUAUUAGAGUCUUGUGCAUGGGUGUGUAGGGCACCACAUUUAUGUACAAGAGGCUACAGGAUGUUCUUAGGAGCAGGUUCUCUUCUUUCAGUGAUCAUUUCACAUGAGUGAGCAUGAGCUCAAGUUGGUUCUCAGUCUACUCCAUUUGUUACUUCUAAUUACAGAGUAUGCCUCCUCGCAGAGAUUUUGUCUGUGGGGUUGGUGAUCAACCCCCACAUCCAAUAGAUCCUGAGAAAGAUAGUGUGGCACAUACAGAGUUUUGGGUAGCUUUUCAGGCGCUAGCCCAAGAUGUGACUAAUGUUCAAGGGAACGGUCAGGAUGCAGCCCCACCUCAGCAAGAUGAGAAUUCUGCCACAGCCAGGGUUAGAAAUUUCAUGAAAAUAAACUCUCCAGAAUUCUUUGGGUCAGUAGUAUGUGAGAACCCGUAGCUUUAUCUUGAGGAGGUAAAGAAGAUCACCCAGAUUAUGCAUGUUUCUGAAGAGAAAGAGUGAGUAAUAAAGCCAAGAUAGGUAGUCAUGGUUUCUCAUAGUCAGGGUAUCAAGGUGAUAGUAGUUCUCAGUAUGGUCAGAGAUGUUUAGUCCCAGCUCCAUCUUUAGCUAGUGUACCCACACUUGUGUUUAGGGGUGGUAGAUCUGAGGGAGCGCCAAGCUCCAAAGCCCAGAGUUAUGCUAGUAGUAUUCAUACCCAUUUGAGUUGUGGAGAGUAUGGCAGGUGCCACCAAGGUGUGUGUAGAUCCGGUAGUGAUAUAUGCUUUAGGUGUGGUGAGCCAGGCCAUAGAAUACGAGAAUGUAGAGUGCUGACUCAAAGGGGUAGACUUCAUGAGUUUCAGGCUCGCCUUGAUCAGGAAAGAUCCCCUGAAAUAGACCCGGGUAUAUUAUGAGCCCUUCAUCUUCGUGAUAUGUAUUAUUAGAUCCUUUUCUCCCAUUUUGAGCUUAUAUGUUAGCAUGAGUCAUGCAUGAGUUUCAGAUCUUGAUCGGUUAAUUAUGACCCAGUCUGUAGGUGCCCCGUACACCAUUCCAGUAUUUCAGCGAAGCGUGUUUAGAGGGACAUAGAGUCCCAAGGGGGAGAUACCCUAUAGUAUUAUAAUGUUGCAUGCCAUUAGAUUCAUCCCGAUACAUGUUCACAUAUUUUGUAUGGAGUUAGCAUCAGUUGUCAUUGCAUUGUCAAGUUGUGCCUUCAAAAGUCAGCUUAGCUGGACAUUUAUGCAUUAGAUAUGCACAUUCAGUAGAAAGAGUUUAUCUUGUUAGUGUGUGUUUAGUCGUAUAUUCAUGAGAUCAUCCCAGUUAUGAGUCCAUGCAUCAGAUAUGCAUGCCUAGUGUGAGAACUCUAUAUAUCAGUCGUUCCAGUUGCGUAGUCCAGAUCUGAGAUGUUUCCAUUUCUUGAGUAAGUUCUGCUGAUUCGUAUUCCAAGCAACAUUUGAGGACGAGUGUUCUCAAAGGGGAGAUAAUGUAAUGCCCCGCAAAAUCCUCUUGCAGUCUGAGCCUUAGAGCAUUUUUGGUAAAGCAAAAAUUCGAGUCAAAAUGUUUCAGAAAUAUCUUCCCAAGUAUGAAAUACUUUGAAUUGUGUGGGAAUCUAUUUGAUCAUGAAUUAAGAUCAUAAAGGUCUCCUAACUCAUGGACGAGUUGACAGCUUUCCUACCAUUCAAGUUUUAGUGACCGUCAAAAUUUGGGUCAACUUCAAUCAACCAUAAAUCCUUGUGCAUAUCGAAUUACAGCACCUACUAUAUAUCAAAUAAAAGAUCUUUGAAUUAUCUUUCCAACGAUACCAACUUUGUCAAAAAACUGAUAUCGGAGCAAAGAGUUAUGAUCAUUCUACACCAGCAUGUCUAGCCGGGAAACUGGUGACAAAAAUUGUGACAAGCCGUCACGCCCGUGAUGGCCUAUCACCAAAUGUCGUCAGCCCUGGGUAGAAAAUCAAGAAUUUGACCCCUUUUUGUGACGACAAUUCGUGACGGCCUAUCAUGGGCCUGACGGAUUGUCACAUAUGUCGUCAAGAAUAUUUUUUCAGCAAUUUUAGAACAUUUUUACAAGGGUAUUUUGGUCAUUUUUCACCCUGUGAAAGCCUCUAUAAAUAUGGGAAACCUCAUCCAAAACCCUAAUUUCCUUCAUUUUCUCUUUCAAUUCUCUAAAGAGAGAAUAUCUAGGGUUUCAUUCAAGAACCCUAAUCUUCCAAAAAUACUCCAUAAAUUCUUCAAGAUUUCUUCAAGAAUCAAUUUUCUCAUAGUGUGAACUUCAAGAAUCAUUUAUUACGAGUGCGGAUAGAGUCUCAAGCAUUAGAAUUUAUCCAAUUUCAAAGAUUAAGGUAUGCAGAUGUUGAUUCUUGGGUCCCUUUCAUCCAAGAAGCUCAAGAACCCAUUUUAAAAUUAAAAGAUUUUUAUGUUUAUGAGUUGUUAAUGAUUUUUAUGAGUUUAAAUUGAUGUUUAAUGUGUUUUUGCGUUUUGAUUUAUGUUUUCCUAUAAAAUUUAUGAGCUUUGACCCUAGUAUGUGGAAUUCAUGUGAUGUUUGUGAUAGACCUUCUUGAAGUUGUUUUCUAUGUGUGUUCAUGACUUUUGGGUGUAGAAAUGGUUGAAUAAGUGAAGCAUGUCCCCCAUAGAUUUGAUAAAGAGCAUAGGUGAAGCAUAAGGGCCAUUAUACUAUGUUGAAUAUGAAAUCCCAAUUUGUGAGUUAGUUUGUGCUUAGUGUUUGAUAAAAUUCCCAAGUUAAUGAAUUAUUCCAUGGUAGUAGAAAAUUUCCAAAUAAGUGUGAACCCGUGCAUGUCUAGUGUUUUGUUGAAGGACCUUAGUGAACAAGUGGGGAGGUGAUAGUAGUAAUUUCCCCAAUUAUGUGCUCUUGAUAUAUGCUAAGCUUUUAAUACAUGCCAAGUGGUUAGCAAGUAGGUUAUGACGUGAUAGUAUGAAAUUUCUCCAAGAUAUGUGAUAUCCAAACACAUGUCAAUAUUCAUAUAGGUAUGAAAUAGUUGACGUAAAACCUUGUUGAAUGGAGUACAAUUUAGUAGCAUGUUUCCCCUACGUUAUUAUAUGAUUAUGAUUUCGAGAUGCCUAAAGUGACCCCUCAGUGAAUGUGAAAAUGCUUUAAUGAUUAUGAGAUGCUUUGAUGAUUGUGAUGAUGCAUGAAUGAUUGUGAUGAUAUAUAAAUAAAAGUGAUGAUGAAUGAAUGAUUACGCUUUACUUUUAUGUCAUCGAGUCCUAGGGUUUUUAUACCCGACAAUAGAGCUGUUGUCUAGGGCCCGUGUCAGUUUCUCGAUAAUUCCUAUCAAGCCAUGAUUCUCAGAACUCAGUGAAUUAUAGAACUCUGUAUCCUCAGACACGUGCAGAAAUUAAGAAAGCUCAGUAAUCUUAGUAUCACUAGUAAUCUAGACUCAUUCCUGUAAUCAACUUAGUUCUAAAAGUAUUCAAUUGAUUCAAUUCUAAUCUUACAAGAGAUUCGAGUAAUCUAUUUAAGCUCUGUAUUAUCAAUCAGAUACCAUGAUUCAAUAUCUUUUCCUUCAGAUACGGAACUAAGUAAUCUUAGCAUAACUCAGUUAGAUCUUUUGAGAAACAUGAUCAGUAUCAGAUUCAGCUUUGUCUAGUAUAGUCAAAUAAUCAACCCAGAGUUUUUCAGUUGGGAGUAGGAUUUAGCACCAAGCGAACCCAAGGAUGGAAACUCACCUGCUAGUAGAGGGGGUGAUUCUUAGAAACAAUCCUUGCAUUCUAGAACUAUGUAGCCAGCACAGAAAAAGGAGUCACCCAUUAAGCAAGCAUGAUGUCCUGUUGAGGGCCACUGCCAGAGAGCCUGACCUUAGAGAAAAGAUAAUGUCUUUAUCAGUGGUACGGUAUUGGCACCCUCCCAAUUGGGGGUAGAGGUUGAACCUCACCUGUGGUUGGUUGGGGCAUGUCGGUUAGAUGACUACUUCCCACAGUUUUAGUUUUAGAUUCAGUCUCCGUUUCAGAAUCAAUCUUCAAAAAUCAAGGCUGUGCGAUACAGUCGUUUAUGUUAGUGAGGAACUCAGAUAGUUCUAUUGAUUUAUGGACCAUCCCGCCAGAUAGGCUUGGUCUUAUAUACAGUUGUUUGAUAUCAUAUUUAGAGAUAUGCCGCUAGACAGAAUUGAUCAUAGUACCAGAGUUUUAUUGAAUAUACUUGUCGUCAGAUUCAGAUAUAAUCAUAUUUCUUAUUAUUCAUAAAGCUUCCAAAGUAAUCUGUUAGAAAAUUUCAUCUCAGUCUCAGACCAUGUUAAGUAUUCUUAUUAUCAUAUCUAGAGAUCUCCCGUCAUAUAGGCUUGAUCUCCAUCUCAGAUUCUAUUACGUAUUUAUAUUGUCAGAUUCGGACAUGAUCAUACUUCUUAUCAUUGAGAAUCGCUUUGGAAUAAUCUGUUACAAAAUUUGAUCUCUAAUUUUGUCAGUCGAAAACAGUAAGAUCAGAAUUCUGUCCUUGAUGUAAGUACAUCCAAAUCCUCAGUUAUUAGUAUUAGAGGAGUCAGUGAUUCCAUAUCUCAAUUUUAGUAGUGAGUUCAAUCUUCAGUAAGGUGGUAUCCGAGUUUCAGUAUCUAGAGUUGCGAUGCUUGUGUUCAUGUUUUGUGCAUUCAUGUAUGUGUUCUCAUGUGGCAUCUUCAUGAUUAGUCAGUUUAAAAAUUGUGCAUGCAUGAUCCCUUGCAUUAUCCUACCUCGUCUACAUACUCGAUACAUUCUUGUACUGACGCAUUUGCGCUAUGGUGUUUUAUUUGACACCAUAAGUUCAGAGGCACAGGAUCCAAAUUAUCCUUAGCAGUUCAGUCCCAGUCAGCAG